UUUAACGGCCGCGGUACCAUGACCGUGCAAAGGUAGCAUAAUCAUUAGUCUUUUAAUAGAGGGCUGGAAUGAAAGGUUUGACGAGAUAUUAGCUGUCUCAUUUUGAUGAUUUUAAAAUUUAAUUUUUAAGUUAAAAAGCUUAAAUGUUUUUGGAAGACGAGAAGACCCUAUAGAGCUUUAUGGUUAUAUAUUUUAAUAGUUUUGGUUUAUGUAGUUUAUAUUAUUCUGUAUAGCUUUUUUGUUGGGGUGACAAGAAAUAUAUAUUUAACUUUUAUUAACUAUGAAACACUUAUUUGUGAUUAUUAGAUCCUUUUUUAUUGAUUAUUAGAUUAAGUUACCUUAGGGAUAACAGCGUAAUCCCCUUUUGGAGUUCUUAUUUACAAGGGGGCUUGCGACC
rnacentral:rRNA from 1 species